rnacentral:rRNA from 1 species
AUUGAACGCUGGCGGCAGGCCUAACACAUGCAAGUCGAGCGGAUGACGGGAGCUUGCUCCUUGAUUCAGCGGCGGACGGGUGAGUAAUGCCUAGGAAUCUGCCUGGUAGUGGGGGACAACGUUUCGAAAGGAACGCUAAUACCGCAUACGUCCUACGGGAGAAAGCAGGGGACCUUCGGGCCUUGCGCUAUCAGAUGAGCCUAGGUCGGAUUAGCUAGUAGGUGAGGUAAUGGCUCACCUAGGCGACGAUCCGUAACUGGUCUGAGAGGAUGAUCAGUCACACUGGAACUGAGACACGGUCCAGACUCCUACGGGAGGCAGCAGUGGGGAAUAUUGGACAAUGGGCGAAAGCCUGAUCCAGCCAUGCCGCGUGUGUGAAGAAGGUCUUCGGAUUGUAAAGCACUUUAAGUUGGGAGGAAGGGCAGUAAGCUAAUACCUUGCUGUUUUGACGUUACCGACAGAAUAAGCACCGGCUAACUCUGUGCCAGCCGCCGCCGUAACAC